UACGCAUCGGCCACCCUCUUACGCACUGGCCACCCUUGCUUUCUCCCGCUUUACCCGCGCCCGCCCUCCGCUCCGGCCGCCUUGCCGUCCUUCCCGUCGUCGACGUGUUCGGCGAGGGCUAUAGUUUCCCCCUCUCGCGCGCCAACUUCAUUGGCAUUUGGUACCCUCUUGAAGGACCUCGUCUUCUUCUAUGCUCUCCUCGGCGCCUAGCGGUCACCCACCAGCUCUUCGACGCUAUGCCCUGCCGGUAGCCUUUCCUUCGCCAGGGCCGUCGUCGACCAGAAUGCCGUUUCGUGGACGCAUAUGGUAGUCGUGUACUGCAAGGCCGGUGCCGUCGUUUCUGCUAGGUAACUGUUCGACAGACUGCCUGAGAAGAACCUGGUUUUGUUGACCACUAAAGUUAACGAGGGAUGACUAAAGAGGCGCUUGCGCGAGUUGAAAUGGCAGAAGAUAGAGCCAGACGCAGCCACUGUGGUCUGCAUCAUCUCCGCCUCUGUUCAGCUGCGAAUUGUGGAGCUGCUGAUCUGAGUUGGAUCGUAUGUCAAUAGCAAGAAGAACGAGAGGAACGAGCACGAUGCACUUGUGGACAUGCAUGCCAAGUGAGGCAACAUCAAGAAAGCUUUGUGCACAUUCGAAGAGAUUCCUUCCCUGGAUGCACACUCAAUCGCCGAGCUCAUAGACGGGAUAACAUCCCGUGGACUCAAAAUGAUGGCGCUCGACAUCUUUGACAUACUGCGAAGGGAGAUGAUGAUGCCAGAUUGCAUCACAUUUGUCAGGAGUUCUGGGAAAGCAUUGUUUGCAGCUAUGGCAUGGAGCAGAGAGCCGACAGCAUUUCUUGCAUCACGGACAUGCUUGGAUGGGCAAGGUGGCUUAAGGAAGCACAUAAGAUAAUUCAGAGCUCCACAUAUUUGACACAAUGCGCUGGGAGGUGAUCAAGCCAGUCUGUAUCAUGUUUGUCAGCACGCUGAGUGCCUGGAGCCAUUCAAAGCUUGUCACACAAAGGGUUGGAAUUCUGUGAUUCCUUUUCUGCAUGGAUGUGCUGGGAGGCAUAGAGAAGCACAAAAGAUGGUUCAGAGUAUUCUAGUGUAGCCUCAUCCAGGAGCGCUAGUGGCAUUGCUUGCAGCUUGGAGGACUUGUGCCAAUACUGAGAUUGCAGAGAACUAACUGUUGAAGGUGGAACCAAGAACUAGGGAAACUGUAUGCUUCUGACAAUGAUAACAUUGCAAGAAUUAGAGCAAUGAUAAGAGAAAUUUCAACGAACUUCCAGGCUUGAGUUGGAUUGACAUUUAGCGGAGCUGCUGUAGAUUUCAGAAUAAGGUGUUGACAUGCAUCAAAUGCAGGACAGAUUAAUUUGUUGCCUUCUUUUCUGGUUAGUCUUACAACGAGAUGAUUGGUUGGUUAAGGCAAAGAGCAUUGAUGAUUUGAGCUGCCAGGGCAUACCUUGGUGUUAGAGUACUUUAAUUGUGCUUUUUUUUAAUGCAACAAGCAUCAACCAGCUGGGUGGCUAUCCAGGUGAGAAACCAUUUAUGAUACACAAUUGUAACCGGUCAGUCCAUAUUUUAUAUGUGGCAAAAUGAAACUAAGAUUAUGGAAUAGUCACACUAAAAUGGUUGCAUCAGUUUGUCAUUCAAAGUCUUUCUUUUGGUAUCAAAGAAAAUCUUUUUGUUCAUCUGGGAAAUCAAUGGUAUCAUGAAAAAUUCAAGGGGUUUAUAAGAAUCGUCCUAAAGUUGUAGAGCUUAUAAGAAUGGGCCAUGAUUCCAUGCAAAGUGACAGACUGUGUGGAACUGAAACUGUGUCUUGGAAUGUGAUUCUGAACUUGUCUUCUUCAUUUAUAAAAGAAUGAAAUGAGUGUAUUUCUAGAUUGUGAAUCUUCUUGAGCUCGAUCCGACAAGCUAGUUUCCAUGCAUAUGUGGAAAUUGGUCUUAUAUUAGUGUUCAUCUCAAAAUGCAGCUGAAACAACAAUUUAUUUCUUCAUUGAAUGCUAUCAAAAUUUAUAUCAGACGAUCUAAGUGGGCAACCAGCAAGGAACUGCAGUUGUGGGGCAUAUCAAGAAUUGUGUCUCAUGGAGUAUGGGAUGUUGCACCAUGGACUUCAGUUGCCAUGUAGACGUCUAUCUGAGGAUUGAUAUUUUUGCUAGAGGGUAACCUUUUUGACAGCUCAACAUUUUCUCGCCUUCUAAGGAUCAAACAUGAGGAAGUACUGUAGGGUUUAAUGUUGUCAAGAGGAGCAAUGAAAACAGAAGGAAGGAAGGAUAUCUCCAUUUAUAACCAGUGUUAAGCAUAGAGUUAUGUCUUUGGACUUGAUUGUUUUCUCUCUCUCUCUCUCUCUAUUAUUGCCAUUCGUGCUGCUGCUUCUGAAGCCAUUUCACCUCUGUGACAGUUAUCUCCCCCAAGUGGAGUCUAAUGAUGCCAAGUGAUGCUACAAGAUGUAAUCAAAAGAAGGGUGAAUCUUCCCAUUUAUAAUUAGGAUUAAGCAACAGAGUUUUAGCUUCCCACAAGAUUGUCCUCUAUCCUUCUUAUACUUCGUCGUCAUUGUUAAUUUUGCUGUAUUGUCAUCAUGAUGUACGAUCUUCGUUAUUAUCAUCAUGAUGUAUUGUUACCCUUCUUGCU